UGCAGUCGAGCGGAUGAGUGGAGCUUGCUCCAUGAUUCAGCGGCGGACGGGUGAGUAAUGCCUAGGAAUCUGCCUGGUAGUGGGGGACAACGUUUCGAAAGGAACGCUAAUACCGCAUACGUCCUACGGGAGAAAGUGGGGGAUCUUCGGACCUCACGCUAUCAGAUGAGCCUAGGUCGGAUUAGCUAGUUGGUGAGGUAAAGGCUCACCAAGGCGACGAUCCGUAACUGGUCUGAGAGGAUGAUCAGUCACACUGGAACUGAGACACGGUCCAGACUCCUACGGGAGGCAGCAGUGGGGAAUAUUGGACAAUGGGCGAAAGCCUGAUCCAGCCAUGCCGCGUGUGUGAAGAAGGUCUUCGGAUUGUAAAGCACUUUAAGUUGGGAGGAAGGGCAGUAAGUUAAUACCUUGCUGUUUUGACGUUACCAACAGAAUAAGCACCGGCUAACUUCGUGCCAGCAGCCGCGGUAAUACGAAGGGUGCAAGCGUUAAUCGGAAUUACUGGGCGUAAAGCGCGCGUAGGUGGUUCGUUAAGUUGGAUGUGAAAGCCCCGGGCUCAACCUGGGAACUGCAUCCAAAACUGGCGAGCUAGAGUAUGGCAGAGGGUGGUGGAAUUUCCUGUGUAGCGGUGAAAUGCGUAGAUAUAGGAAGGAACACCAGUGGCGAA
rnacentral:rRNA from 2 species